AACGAACGCUGGCGGCAUGCCUAACACAUGCAAGUCGAACGAGACCUUCGGGUCUAGUGGCGCACGGGUGCGUAACGCGUGGGAACCUGCCCUUAGGUUCGGAAUAACUCCCCGAAAGGGGUGCUAAUACCGGAUAAUGUCUUCGGACCAAAGAUUUAUCGCCUUUGGAUGGGCCCGCGUUGGAUUCGCUAGUUGGUAGGGUAAAAGCCUACCAAGGCGACGAUCCAUAGCUGGUCUGGGAGGAUGAUCAGCCACACUGGGACUGAGACACGGCCCAGACUCCUACGGGAGGCAGCAGUGGGGAAUAUUGGACGAUGGGCGAAAGCCUGAUCCAGCAAUGCCGCGGGAGUGAUGAAGGCCUUAGGGUUGUAAAGCUCUUUUAGCCGGGAUGAUAAUGACAGUACCGGGAGAAUAAGCACCGGCUAACUCCGUG
rnacentral:rRNA from 1 species